UUAUGUGAGGAAUGCAAUCAUACCACCACUUCCCAUUAGAACACCAAACUUAAGCAUGCUUGGACGAGAUAGUACUAGGAUGGGUGAUUUCCAGGGAAGUCCUUGUGUUGUAUAAC
rfam:Nicotiana attenuata strain TT scaffold02079, whole genome shotgun sequence.